rnacentral:rRNA from 1 species
CUACGGGAGGCUCCAGUCGAGAAUCUUUUACAAUGCGCGCAAGCGUGAUAGAGCGAACCAGAGUGCUUCUCAUCGAGAAGCUUUUGUGAAAUCUGAAAAGUUUCACGAAUAAGGACUGGGUAAGACGAGUGCCAGCCGCCGCGGUAAUACUCGCGGUCCAAGUCGCAGCCAUUUUUAUUGGGUCUAAAACAUCCGUAGCUUGUUUGAUAAGUUUCCUGUGAAAUUCUAUAUCUUAAGUAUAGAGCGAGCGAGAAAUACUAUUAAACUAGAGACUGGAAGACGUAAGAAGUACGUUCGAAGUAGCGGUAAGAUGUGUUAAUCUCGGACGGACUCACAACAGCGAAGGCAUCUUACGAGGACAGUUCUGACAGUAAAGGAUGAAGGCUAGGGGCGCAAAACGGAUUAGAUACCCUCGUAGUC